GCCCUUAUAGCUUAGUGGUAGAGCGUUGCACUUGUAUCCCUACAGGAUAUGCAAAGGUCGGCGGUUCAAUUCCGCUUGGGGGCA